UUCCGGUUCUCUCUGUGUACGUAGGUGUGUUCUGAAAUUUCAUAUUCAGCGUUGUAUAUAUGUACUACUCGAUCGAGCUUCAUCGAGCUGUGCGAGUUCAGGAAAGAAGCAGUUCAGGAAUUUAGGCACAGCUCGUCGAUCGAGCUGUGCGAGUUCCACCAGGAAAGCCAUACACACCGAUACAUGCAUGCACCUAUCAAGCAGCUUCACAUCUAGACCAUGCAGUUAAUUGUACAGUACUCACCAUGAGUACUACAGUAAAAUUGUGGAGAGGAGGGGGACAAGAUCGGCUGGCGAAUGGCGAUCCAUCUGCAAGCUACUGACGUACAAUUACUCUCCCAUCUCGCGAACGCCGAACGGCCGGCCAUCAAGGGUGUGUUUAGAUCACGCUAAAAUUAAAAGUUUGGUUAAAAUUGA